GAUGAACGCUAGCGGCAGGCCUAAUACAUGCAAGUCGAGCGGCAAGUCGAGGAGUAAUCUGAGACCUAGAGCGGCGUACGGGUGCGUAACGCGUAUGCAACCUACCUCAUACAGGGGGAUAGCCCGGAGAAAUCUGGAUUAAUACCCCAUGGCACAGCACAAGGGCAUCUGCGAGCUGUUAAAGAUCCAUCGGUAUGAGAUGGGCAUGCGUCUGAUUAGCUAGUUGGCGGUGUAACGGACCACCAAGGCGACGAUCAGUAGGGGUUCUGAGAGGAAGGUCCCCCACACUGGCACUGAGAUACGGGCCAGACUCCUACGGGAGGCAGCAGUAGGGAAUAUUGGGCAAUGGUCGGAAGACUGACCCAGCCAUGCCGCGUGCAGGAAGAAGGCCUAUUGGGUUGUAAACUGCUUUUAUCUGGGAAGAAAAGGCCCGUGCGCGGGACAUUGCCGGUACCAGAUGAAUAAGCACCGGCUAACUCCGUGCCAGCCGCCGCGGUAACAC
rnacentral:rRNA from 1 species